rnacentral:lncRNA from 1 species
CUAUGUGAAGCUUCUAAAUAUAAAAAUUUAAAAUAAAUAAAUAAAUUUAUUAAUACUACUUGACUUACCUGCUAUGAUGGCUGUGACAAUGAGCUCAACUGAUCGUAUAGAUGUGGAUCUCGAAGAAUCUUAAUCACCGUAUCGCGGAUGGCAUCCCAAAAGCUCAGAGGUCAUUGAUGAAAAAGCCUCUGCACGACUUCCUCAACAUGUGUAUCACUCCAUAUCUGGAUCGUCG